AUUGAACGCUGGCGGUAUGCUUAACACAUGCAAGUCGAACGGGGGUAGCAAUACCCUAGUGGCGGACGGGUGAGUAACGCGUAGGAAUCUGCCUAAUAGUGGGGGACAACUCGGGGAAACUCGAGCUAAUACCGCAUACGCCCUACGGGGGAAAGAGGGGGACCUUCGGGCCUCUUGCUAUUAGAUGAGCCUGCGUCCGAUUAGCUAGUUGGCAGGGUAAGGGCCUACCAAGGCGACGAUCGGUAGCUGGUCUGAGAGGACGAUCAGCCACACUGGGACUGAGAAACGGCCCAGACUCCUACGGGAGGCAGCAGUGGGGAAUAUUGGACAAUGGGGGCAACCCUGAUCCAGCAAUACCGCUUGUGUGAAGGAGGCCUGCGGGUUGUAAAGCACUUUCAGUUGGAAAGAAAAGCCUAAGGCUAAUACCUUUGGGUCUUGACGUUACCAUCAGAAGAAGCACCGGCUAACUCCGUGCCAGCCGCCGCCGUAAGAC
rnacentral:rRNA from 1 species